GAAUAUCUUCCCGAAAUAGUGACAAAAAUACUAAUGUAUUAAACUUUGUUUAGUACAAUUGGAAUGGAAACAAUCCAAAACCCUUAUUGAGUAACAAUUAGAGGGCAAGUCUGGUGCCAGCAGCCGCGGUAAUUCCAGCUCUAAUAGCGUAUAUUAAUACUGUUGCAGUUAAAACGCUCGUAGUUGAACUUAGAAUUAUUACAAGUUAUUUUACUUGAUUUGUAAAGUGCUUGCUUAAUUCUUAUCUACUAGAUACUCUAUUCUGUACUUAAUUGUAUGGGAUAUCACCUAGCCAGUGGAACUUUGGUAGAAUAAUGCCUUUUUUAAUACCAGAGUGUAAAAACUUGAAGUGUUAAAUUGGGAUAACAUUAUUUUAUUGAAGUGGGGUUCUAGUUAAUUUACUUUGAGUAAAUUAGAGUGUUUCAAACAGGCAAAUUGCCUUGAAUAUUUUAGCAUGGGAUAAUGAAAGAUGACUUCGGUCAA
rnacentral:rRNA from 1 species